GUGUGCAGUGGGAUAAUGUAUAUGGAAACCAUUCAGUGCACAAUGGUAGGUGGAUGUAAUGUGGGCAGAUUUAUUUUGCCAACCUCCUUUGUCCUUACAGCGACGGUGGCUUAGCACUGAGCAUCGAUGCUUCAUUGGAGCAAGCUGCAGAUCUCAAGCAAUCCUUUCUGAGAGCAGGCUGGAGGCUGAAGGAGGGGCUGGGGAGACGUGUCAGGAGGCCUCUGGAUGGCAGCUGGGAGGUUCUGGCGUGGAACUGAAGGUCUCUGUCCUUGGAAGGAGGGGAUUCCUGCUGCUGUGCCUCCCUGCAGCUCGCAGUGGGUUUUACCAGGAGCUCCAGCCUUUCUUCUGGCCAAGAAGAGGUCACGUUUCCUGCGAGGAAGGGAGCUGCUCACAAAAGGAAAGGAUGAAUAUCGGAACAGCACAGUGCUGUGAAGAUGACUGCUCCGGGUGACACCCAUCAUUGCUCACAAUGCCCUGCCAGGACCUGCCAGCCUGGGGAGAGGAGAACCUGCACGUCCUUGCGUUGCUACGUACAGGCCUGUUUGCUUCAGUUUCUUUUGACAAAUAGAGAACACUUCAAUUUCUCAUGGACUGGAAUCAUUGGUGGAGGUGCCUCUUCCCCAGGUAUUGGACGUGGUGUCCAGCCGAGCUGCAGCAGCUCCUGGCUGAGGUGGCUGGCUCUGCACAACUUGUCCUGCACUCUCUGUUCAUCUCUUGAAGAACUCCAUCUCCCGUCCCAGGAGCGUAGAAGUGAUCUAGAAGGUAGGAGCAGCUUGUAUUUUUAGAAUGUACGCAGGCAUUGGCUUAUUUCAGAGGUAUUCAAGUGUUCUCUGUACAGUCAGUGUGGGGCACAGCACAGCGCCCAUCUCGUGCUGCAGUGCUGAACACAAGUUUGGAUCUAUUUUCCUACAGCAGAUUUUAAUGUUGGCUCACAGGGAGGGGGUUCCAGCAUUUUAUUUUUUUGCAGCUCUUUAUGGCCAACACCACAGGGCGGGCUCAGCCCGUCCUGCCAAGCACCAGACUGCCGUGCUCUGCAGUAAAAGAGAUAGUUUAUUUUUUUGCCGAGAUCUCCCAGAAAACUUGGACUUCCUCUUCAUUAUUUGUACCUAAUCUUGUCCUUAGUUGUGAUGUUCUUUGUUCUGGAUGUAUGUUUGUUUUUUUUUUUUUACUAUGUAUAUCUGAAUAAAAAUACUUUUAUUUUUUAACUUUGUGUUGUU
rnacentral:lncRNA from 1 species